AUCCUGCCAACUGAAUGCACACACACGCUUACGCACCAACAACUGAAUGCACUUGAGCAAGUGAAUGCCGAUUUUCCGGCAUUCACUUGACAUUCUUUUUUUUCCGGUCUAAAAUGAUGUUUUUUAUCAUAUAUGUGAAAAUUGUGACAUGUUUCAGUUGGCAGGAUUUUCGUGUAAUGUGUGUUGCAGUUGUGUGAAAAUUUUUGCAUCGCGCGGUUUUUCAACACACACACGUCAACCAAUGCGCAUGCUCGUUUUCAACCGGAAGCACAUACGGGAGGAAGGUGACUUUUCAGGCACAGAGGCGAGGUGUAAAAACAAUCAAUUAAAGGCGGCAUGGCGACCUCCUUCUCCCUUACCAUGAAUCUAUGAUUUCAAAAGAAAAAUGGGACAGAAGGGAAUAGCAAAGAAGCUCUGGAUUUAGUCGGGGUUUUUUUUGACUGAAGGAAACAGUUCUGUGUGGAUGUAACCGAAGAAAAUGAAUAAUUGGGAGACUGGUAAACCUGGUGAUGUAUGGCAAACAUUCCAAGCAAAACAUGAAAUGUGUUGAUGGCCACCUAUGUCACUUUUCAACAAGGCUAAAUAUGGAGGGCAAGGCUACAGCGCAAGUCCUUUGUCAGAAGGUCAUGGACAAUUCAGGAAAAGGCUGUAGUACAACAGCAACUAUAGGGGAAAUCUUUUGCUGAAAAUGUUACGAGGGAAGGCUAAUUGUUAAGAGGUCCUCCGAAAAGAACCAGUGUUGCAUGGCAGAACCUGGAAACAAACUAAGGACCUCAUCUGUAACUGUAAUAUAAGAAGACAGCCAAGAAGAAUUUGCUUGUAUCAGAUCAGGCUGUUAGUGAGACUAUAAAAGAUAUUGCUGCCUAUUGAUUGUGUGUAUCCAAUAUGGUUGUCGGUUGACUGUAUAUCAGAUGUGACUAUCAGUUGACUGUGUGUAUCAGAUAUGGUUGUCAGUUGACAAUGUGUAUCAGAUAUGGCUGUCAGUUGAUAGUGUGUAUCGGAUAUGGCUGUCAGUUUACAGUGUAUAUAAGAUGUGGGUGUCAGUACAGUGUGUAUCAGAUAUGGCUGUCAGCUGGCUAUCAGAUGUGGCUGUCAGUUGACAAUGUGUAUCAGAUAUGGCUGUCGGUUGAUAGUGUGUAUCGGAUUUGGCUGUCAGUUGACAAUGCGUAUCGGAUAUGGCUGUCAGUUGACGGUGUGUAUCAGAUAUAGCUGUCAGUAAGGUGUGUAUAAGAUAUGGCUGUCAUGAUCAGUUGACAAUGUGUAUCAGAUAUGGCUUUCAGUAAAGUGUAUAUCAAGUAUGGCUGUCAAUAAAGUGUGUAUAAGGUAUGGCUGUCAGUUGACAAUGUGUAUUGCAUAUGGCUGUCAGUUUACAAUGUGUAACAGAUACUGUGUUAGUAUAAGAUGUAGGUGUCAGUUGACAGUGUGUAUUAGAUAUGGCUGUCAGUUGAUAGUGUGUAUCAGAUAUGGCUGUCAGUAGUGUGUAUACGAUAUGACUGUCAGUUGCAUUGUGUAUCCGAUGUGACAGUGACAGUGUGUAUCAGAUACUGAAUCAGUAAAGUGUCUAUCAGAUAUUGCUGUCAGUUGGCAGUGUGUAUAAAAUAUGAUUGUCAGUAAAGUGUGUAUCAGAUAUGGCUGUCAGUUGACUAUAUAAUGUAUCGAUGUCAGUUGACUAUUUCUGAUAUGGCUGUAAGUUGACAGUGUGUAUGAGAUGUGGCUGUCAGUUGAUAGUGUGUAGCAGAUAUGGCUGUCAGUUGACAGCGGUAUCAGAUACUGUGUCAAUAAAGUGUGUAUCAGAUAUGACUGUCAGUUGACUAUAUCUGAUGUGGCUGUCAGUUGCCUAUAUCAGAUAUGGCUGUCAGUUGACAGUGUGUAUCAGAUACUAUGUCAGUAAAGAGUGUAUAAGAUAUAUGGCUCUCAGUACAGUGUGUAUAAGGUAUGGCUGUCAGUUGACUAUAUCACAAGUGGCUGUCAGUUAACAGUGUGUAUAAGAUAUAUAUAUAUAUAUAUAUGGAUGUCAGUUGACUAUCAGAUGUGGCUGUCAGUUGACAAUGUCUAUCGGAUAUAGCUGUCAUUUUACAAUGUGAAUCAGAUAUUGUGUAAGUAAAGUGUGUAUAAGAUAUGAGUGUCAGUUGGCGGUGUGUAUUAUAUAUGGCUGAACGUAAAGCGUAUAAAAGGUAUGGCUGUCAGUUUGCAUUGUGUAUCUGAUGUGACAGUGUGUAUCAGAUACUGAAUCAGUAAAGUGUUUAUCAGAUAUGACUGUCAGUUGGCAGUGUGUAUAAAAUAUGGCUGUCAGUAAAGUGUGUAUCAGAUAUGGCUGUCAGUUGACUAUAUCACAUGUGCCUGUCAGUUGACAGUGUAUCAGAUAUGGCUGUCAGUUGACGGUGUGUAUCAGAUAUAGCUGUCAGUAAGGUGUGUAUAAGAUAUGGCUGUCAUGAUCAGUUGACAAUGUGUAUCAGAUAUGGCUUUCAGUAAAGUGUAUAUCAAGUAUGGCUGUCAAUAAAGUGUGUAUAAGGUAUGGCUGUCAGUUGACAAUGUGUAUUGCAUAUGGCUGUCAGUUUACAAUGUGUAACAGAUACUGUGUUAGUAUAAGAUGUAGGUGUCAGUUGACAGUGUGUAUUAGAUAUGGCUGUCAGUUGAUAGUGUGUAUCAGAUAUGGCUGUCAGUAGUGUGUAUACGAUAUGACUGUCAGUUGCAUUGUGUAUCCGAUGUGACAGUGACAGUGUGUAUCAGAUACUGAAUCAGUAAAGUGUCUAUCAGAUAUUGCUGUCAGUUGGCAGUGUGUAUAAAAUAUGGCUGUCAGUAAAGUGUGUAUCAGAUAUGGCUGUCAGUUGACUAUAUCACAUGUGCCUGUCAGUUGACAGCGGUAUCAGAUACUGUGUCAAUAAAGUGUGUAUCAGAUAUGACUGUCAGUUGCCUAUAUCAGAUAUGGCUGUCAGUUGACAGUGUGUAUCAGAUACUAUGUCAGUAAAGAGUGUAUAAGAUAUGGCUCUCAGUACACUGUGUAUAAGGUAUGGCUGUCAGUUGACUAUAUCACAAGUGGCUGUCAGUUAACAGUGUGUAUAAGAUAUAUAUAUAUAUAUAUGGAUGUCAGUUGACUAUCAGAUGUGGCUGUCAGUUGACAGUGUAUCAGAUGUGGCUGUCAGUUGACAAUGUCUAUCGGAUAUAGCUGUCAUUUUACAAUGUGAAUCAGAUAUUGUGUAAGUAAAGUGUGUAUAAGAUAUGAGUGUCAGUUGGCGGUGUGUAUUAUAUAUGGCUGAACGUAAAGCGUAUAAAAGGUAUGGCUGUCAGUUUGCAUUGUGUAUCCGAUGUGACAGUGAGUGUGUAUCAGAUACUGAAUCAGUAAAGUGUCUAUCAGAUAUGACUGUCAGUUGGCAGUGUGUAUAAAAUAUGGCUGUCUGUAAAGUGUGUAUAGGAUAUGGCUGUCAGUUGACUAUAUCACAUGUGCCUGUCAGUUGACAGUGUAUCAGAUAUUGCUGUCAGUUGAAAGUGUAUUAAAUAUGGCUGUCAGUUGACUAUAUAAUGUAUCGAUGUCAGUUGACUAUUUCUGAUAUGGCUGUAAGUUGACAGUGUGUAUGAGAUGUGGCUGUCAGUUGAUAGUGUGUAGCAGAUAUGGCCGUCAGUUGACAGUGUGUAUCGGAUAUGGCUGUCAGUUGACAAUGUUUAUCAGAUACUGUGUCAGUAAAGUGUGUAAAAGAUGUGGGUGUCAGUUGACAGUGUGUAUAAGAUAUGGCUGUCAGUUGACUUUAUCAGAUGUGGCUUUCAGUUGACAGUGUAUCAGAUAUAGCUGCCAGUUGAAAGGUUGUAUUAGAUAUGGCUGUCAGUUGACUAUAUAAUGUAUUGUUGUCAGUUGACUAUUUCAGAUAUGGCUAUCAGUUGACAGUGUGUAGCAGAUAUGGCUGUCAGUUGAUAGUGUGUAUUAGAUAUUGCUGUCAGUUGACAAUGUUUAUCAGAUACUGUGUCAGUAAAGUGUGUAUCAGA